AAUCAACGCUGGCGGCGUGCCUCAGACAUGCAAGUCGAACGCGAAAUUUCCCUUCGGGGAGAAAGUAGAGUGGCGCACGGGCGAGUAACACGUAGGUAAUUUGCCUUCGGGUGGGGAAUAACAGCCGGAAACGGCUGCUAAUACCGCAUAAUGCAGCGGCUCGACAUCGAGACAGUUGUUAAAGCGGGGGAGUCGCAAGACCUCGCGCCUGAAGAGAAGCCUGCGGCAGAUAGCUAGUUGGUAGGGUAAUGGCCUACCAAGGCAACGAUCUGUAGCCGGCCUGAGAGGGCGGUCGGCCACACUGACACUGACAUACGGGUCAGACUCCUACGGGAGGCAGCAGUCGGGAAUUUUGGGCAAUGGGCGAAGACCUGACCCAGCAACGCCGCGUGAAGGAUGAAAUCCCCUCGGGAUGUAAACUUCGCAAGAAUGGAAGAAUAAGUAGGGGACAAUA
rnacentral:rRNA from 1 species